UACAUACUGUGCGAACGUUAUUCGGAUUCACUGGGCUUAGAGGGUGCGUAGGCGGCUUGUUAAGUAGGGUGUGAAAGCCCCCAGCUCAACUGGGGAACUGCACUCUAUACUGGCGAGCUAGAGUGAGAUAGGGGUGUGUGGAACUGCCAGUGGAGCGGUGAAAUGUGUUGAUAUUGGCAGGAACGCCGGUGGCGAAAGCGACACACUGGGUCUCAACUGACGCUGAGGCACGAAAGCCAGGGGAGCAAACGGG
rnacentral:rRNA from 1 species